rnacentral:rRNA from 1 species
AGCGGCGGAUGGGUGAGUAACACGUGGGGAACCUGCCCCUAAGUCUGGGAUACCAUUUGGAAACAGGUGCUAAUACCGGAUAAUAAAGCAGAUCGCAUGAUCAGCUUUUGAAAGGCGGCGUAAGCUGUCGCUAAGGGAUGGCCCCGCGGUGCAUUAGCUAGUUGGUAAGGUAACGGCUUAUCAAGGCGACGAUGCAUAGCCGAGUUGAGAGACUGAUCGGCCACAUUGGGACUGAGACACGGCCCAAACUCCUACGGGAGGCAGCAGUAGGGAAUCUUCCACAAUGGACGCAAGUCUGAUGGAGCAACGCCGCGUGAGUGAAGAAGGUUUUCGGAUCGUAAAGCUCUGUUGUUGGUGAAGAAGGAUAGAGGUAGUAACUGGCCUUUAUUUGACGGUAAUCAACCAGAAAGUCACGGCUAACUACGUGCCAGCAGCCGCGGUAAUACGUAGGUGGCAAGCGUUGUCCGGAUUUAUUGGGCGUAAAGCGAGCGCAGGCGGAAAAAUAAGUCUAAUGUGAAAGCCCUCGGCUUAACCGAGGAACUGCAUCGGAAACUGUUUUUCUUGAGUGCAGAAGAGGAGAGUGGAACUCCAUGUGUAGCGGUGGAAUGCGUAGAUAUAUGGAAGAACACCAGUGGCGAACGCGGCUCUCUGGUCUGCAACUGACGCUGAGGCUCGAAAGCAUGGGUAGCGAACAGGAUUAGAUACCCUGGUAGUCCAUGCCGUAAACGAUGAGUGCUAAGU